UGCGCAGGCGGAUUAAUAAGUCGGGGGUUAAAUCCAUGUGCUUAACACAUGUACGGCUUCCGAUACUGUUGAUCUAGAGUCUCGAAGAGGAAGGUGGAAUUUCCGGUGUAACGGUGGAAUGUGUAGAUAUCGGAAAGAACACCAGUGGCGAAGGCAGCCUUCUGGUCGAGUACUGACGCUCAUGCACGAAAGCGUGGGGAGCAAACA
rnacentral:rRNA from 1 species